UUCUUCCCCCCUCAACCAAAAAUCCCAAAUCUCAAAUCCCUAAUCUUUUGAACCAAAAAUCCCCUUCUCUUUUUCUCUCUCUCUCUCGCGACUGUGAGCAGGAAAGACGACGACGUCAAGCAAUAGUGAGCAGUGGUAGACGACGGCGUCGAGCGACGGCAGCGACAACGUGAGAGUUGAUGAGGAAUCUAGGUUUUUAGCUUCUUCUCAUGGAUCGAGCUAUCUCUGCGAUCUCGGCCUCGGCUUAUCUUUGCCUUUUUCUGGUGAUUUCUCGGUUACUAUAUGUCUCUAGUAGACGACGGCGUCGAGCGACGGCAGCAACAGCGUGAGAGUUGAUAAGGAAUCUGGGUUUUUAGCUUCUUCUCAUGGAUCGAGCUAUCUCUGCGAUCUCGGCCUCGUCUUAUCUUUGCCUUUUUUCUGGUGAUUUUUCGGUUACUAUAUGUCUCUGGUAAUGCCGAAGGUGCGUAUUGAUUUCUGUUACCCUUGAUUCCUGGUGAUUUCUUUUACCCUCGGUUACUACACGUCUCUGGUGAUUUUUGGUGUUUCAUCCAUUGAAGUUUCUUCUACAUUUCAAGUUCAUCUUUUUUUUAAAGUCGGGUGAUGGUGUUUUGGAAGGUAGAUGUGGAUGGAUUUUUAGAGUGCGAAGGGGUUUGACAUUAAAGGAUCCAUUAGAUUGCUAGAUUGGGACGAAGUCUGCAAUCCGUAAACUGACAGUAAUCUGGGUGUUCCUAACUACAACCAAAACUUUUAUCACCAUCACGUCCACUUUUGGACUCAGCCUUCCCAGCAGAGUCGUUGAUAACAAUCAUAAUCUUACAACACCUCUAAUGGAGAAGCUGUUACAUUCAGAAACAACUUCUCAUUAUUAUUUUAUACUCAAGUUGCACUCCACAUUGUGUUAAUCAUGUCUUUAAUUUCCAGAUCAAGUAAUUUAGUCUUCUCAAUUCGUUUGAUGAUGAGCGGGGGAUAUUAUAUGACUACAUAUCACCAUCAUUGUCACUCGAUAUUUCCUGAGUAGGAGUUUUGCUUCUUGUGGAAUGCAUGUUUGUGAAGAAUGCGACUAAUUUUUGUUUUUGUUACCCACAGAGAACGAUGAGCAAAACUAGUAAUUUUGGUUUAUUGUAUUUUGAAUUAUGAACAACAUGAUGCAUUUAAACAUUAUAUAUGUAUUAUGGAACAUUAUGUGCUGGGGUAAUUUUGUUGAUGCGUAGUUAGGAAUGCAAGAAUAUUUUUAUUAUGGAGAAAUUAUUUUUUCUAUACAGGAAUUUUUAUAUUAUUAUGCAAUUAUUAGUUUA